UACGGGGGGAGCAAGCGUUGUUCGGAUUUACUGGGCGUAAAGGGCGCGUAGGCGGCCUCCGCAAGUCAGUUGUGAAAUCUCCGAGCUUAACUCGGAAAGGUCAACUGAUACUGCGGGGCUAGAGUGCGGAAGGGGCAACUGGAAUUCUUGGUGUAGCGGUGAAAUGCGUAGAUAUCAAGAGGAACACCUGCGGCGAAGGCGGGUUGCUGGGCCGACACUGACGCUGAGGCGCGAAAGCUAGGGGAGCAAACGGG
rnacentral:rRNA from 1 species